rnacentral:rRNA from 1 species
AGAGUUUGAUCAUGGCUCAGAUUGAACGCUGGCGGCAGGCUUAACACAUGCAAGUCGAGCGGAGUGAUGGUGCUUGCACCAUCACUUAGCGGCGAACGGGUGAGUAAUGCCUAGGAAUCUGCCCAUUAGCGGGGGACAACGUGUGGAAACGCACGCUAAUACCGCAUACGCCCUACGGGGGAAAGCAGGGGACUCUUUGAGCCUUGCACUAAUGGAUGAGCCUAGGUCAGAUUAGCUAGUUGGUGGGGUAAAGGCCUACCAAGGCGACGAUCUGUAGCGGGUCUGAGAGGAUGAUCCGCCACACUGGAACUGAGACACGGUCCAGACUCCUACGGGAGGCAGCAGUGGGGAAUAUUGGACAAUGGGCGAAAGCCUGAUCCAGCCAUGCCGCGUGUGUGAAGAAGGCCUUUUGGUUGUAAAGCACUUUAAGCGAGGAGGAGGGCACUUGGGCUAAUAUCCCAAAGUGUCGGACGUUACUCGCAGAAUAAGCACCGGCUAACUCUGUGCCAGCAGCCGCGGUAAUACAGAGGGUGCGAGCGUUAAUCGGAAUUACUGGGCGUAAAGCGCGCGUAGGCGGUUAUGUAAGUUGGAUGUGAAAUCCCCGGGCUUAACCUGGGCACUGCAUUCAAAACUGCAUAGCUAGAGUAUGGGAGAGGAAGGUAGAAUUCCAGGUGUAGCGGUGAAAUGCGUAGAGAUCUGGAGGAAUACCGAUGGCGAAGGCAGCCUUCUGGCCUAAUACUGACGCUGAGGUGCGAAAGCAUGGGGAGCAAACAGGAUUAGAUACCCUGGUAGUCCAUGCCGUAAACGAUGUCAACUAGCCGUUGGGGACCUUGAGUCCUUAGUGGCGCAGCUAACGCGAUAAGUUGACCGCCUGGGGAGUACGGUCGCAAGACUAAAACUCAAAUGAAUUGACGGGGGCCCGCACAAGCGGUGGAGCAUGUGGUUUAAUUCGAUGCAACGCGAAGAACCUUACCUAGCCUUGACAUGUCUGGAACCCUGCUGAGAGGUGGGGGUGCUCGAAAGAGAGCCGUAACACAGGUGCUGCAUGGCUGUCGUCAGCUCGUGUCGUGAGAUGUUGGGUUAAGUCCCGCAACGAGCG